rnacentral:rRNA from 1 species
GUUUAAUAAAAACAUAAGAUUUUGCUAAAUUUAAUUAUGAAGUAUAAAAUCUGACACCUGCCCGGUGCUGCAAGAUGAAAAUUAAUAAAUUUACGUUUAUUAUAUAAGUCCCAGUUAACGGCGGCUGUAACCCUGACAGUCCGAAGGUAGCGAAAUUCCUUGGCGGGUAAUUACCGUCCUGCAUGAAUGGUGUAACGACUGCCCUACUGUCUCAACUUUUUACCCUGUGAAAUUGAAAUAGUUGUGAAGAUGCAACUAGCUACAAUUAGACGGAGAGACCCUAUGCAUUUUUACUGCAUUCAUUUAUAGUUUUUGUUUGAUGAUAAUCUAGUUAUGUAGUAGAUUCAAUCACCAAUGGAAAACUACUUUAUAGGAAAACAGAAAUAAAGUAUAAAAAAUAAAAUAAAUAUACGUAAUUUAUGAUUGGUAGUUUAACUGGGGCGGUAGUCUUCUAAAAAGUAACGAAGAUGUAUA